CUCUGGCAGUGCUAGUAGCCAUUAGGAAAACUGCUAAAACAAAGCAAAAAAAAAUGUAAAAAUCCUAUGGUAGUGUAGAAGUUUUUUUUUUUUUUUUUUUAAUUCAUGUCUGAAUUUUAACAAAAGCCAGUCCCUGCUGGUCAGCUGUUUUGGUUGCAUCUGGACAGGAUGAACUUUAGACUACACUUAACCUAAUUUUGCAUUGUAAAAUCCAGACAUUGAUACAUUUUGCGAACUAUGUCCAGAUUUUUUCCCCAGAGAAAUCAGGGAGAGCUGUUGAAUUUAUUGACCAACCCAGUGAAUCAAGGUGAAAGACUGUUGAGAAAUAACAGCAUGGACGUUUUUGAGAAGGAAGGUUUACCACGGUAUUUUGAGUUAUGGAAUUUUGUGUAUAUUAAAUAUUUUACACUUGCAUGAUAACGUCUAUUUAUUGGUUUUCCCCAUAUACACUGCCACAACAUUAAAACCACCUUCCUAAUAUCAUGUAGGUCCCACAAAAGCUGCCAAAACAGCUCUGAUUGAGGCAUGGACUCCACAAGACCUGUGAAUGUGUCCUGUGGUAUCUGGCACCAAGACAUUAACAGCAGAUCUUUUAAGUCCUGCAAGUGGCUAGGUGGGACCUCCUUGGAUCGGAUUUGUUGUUCCAGCACAUCCCAAAGAUACUCAAUCUGAUUGAGAUCUGGGGAACAAGGCCACAUCUUGAACUCUUGGUCAUGUUCCUCAAACCAUUCCUAAGCAAUCUUUGCAGUGUGGCAAGGUGCAGUAUCCUGCUGAAAGAGGCCACUGCCACCAGGGGUGUACAUGGUCUGCAACAAUCUCUAGGUAGGUGGUACGUGUCAGAGUAACAUCCACAUGAAAGGUUUCCCAGAGCAUAACACUGCCUGAAUCUUCCCAUAGUGUAAUCUCUUCCCCAGGUAAAUGAUGCAUACGCACCCGGCCUUCCACCUCGUGUAAGAGAAAACAUGAUUCGUCGGACUUGGCAACCUUCUUCCAUUGCUACACUUGCCGUUUUAGAUGUGCUCUGUCCCAG